UACGUAGGCAGCAAGCGUUGUUCGGAGUUACUGGGCGUAAAGGGUGUGUAGGCGGUUGUUUAAGUUUGGUGUGAAAUCUCCCGGCUCAACUGGGAGGGUGCGCCGAAUACUGAAUGACUAGAGUGCGGGAGAGGAAAGUGGAAUUCCUGGUGUAGCGGUGAAAUGCGUAGAUAUCAGGAGGAACACCGGUGGUGUAGACGGCUUUCUGGACCGUAACCGACGCUGAGACACGAAAGCGUGGGUAGCAAACAGG
rnacentral:rRNA from 1 species